rnacentral:tRNA from 1 species
GGGAGUAUAGCUCAGUGGUAGAGCAUUUGUCUGCAGAUCGAGAGGUCCCCGGUUCAACCCUGGGUGCCCUUU